UACAGAGGUCUCAAGCGUUGUUCGGAUUCAUUGGGCGUAAAGGGUGCGUAGGCGGCGCGGUAAGUCGGGUGUGAAAUCUCGGGGCUUAAACUCCGAAACUGCAUUCGAUACUGCCGUGCUUGAGGACUGGAGAGGAGACUGGAAUUUACGGUGUAGCGGUGAAAUGCGUAGAGUAUCGAUAAGGAAGACCAGUGGCGAAGGCGGGUCUCGUGGACAGUUCCUGACGCUGAGGAGCGAAAGCGUGGGGAGCGAACGG
rnacentral:rRNA from 1 species